rnacentral:rRNA from 1 species
AUACAGAGGGUGCAAGCGUUGUUCGGAAUUAUUGGGCGUAAAGGGCGCGCAGGCGGGAUUGCAAGUCGGAUGUGAAAUCCCUCGGCUUAACCGAGGAAGUGCGUUCGAAACUGCAGUUCUUGAGUGUCGGAGAGGGUGGCGGAAUUCCUGGUGUAGAGGUGAAAUUCGUAGAUAUCAGGAGGAACACCAGAGGCGAAGGCGGCCACCUGGACGAACACUGACGCUGAGGCGCGAAAGCGUGGGGAGCAAACAGGAUUAGAUACCCUGGUAGUCCACGCCGUAAACGAUGAGAGCUAGCUGUUGCGGGUGUUGACCCCUGCAGUGGCGCAGCUAACGCAUUAAGCUCUCCGCCUGGGGAGUACGGCCGCAAGGCUAAA